rnacentral:rRNA from 1 species
AGUCGAGCGGGCCCUUCGGGGUCAGCGGCAGACGGGUGAGUAACGCGUGGGAACGUGCCCUUCGGUUCGGAAUAACUCAGGGAAACUUGAGCUAAUACCGGAUACGCCCUUAUGGGGAAAGGUUUACUGCCGAAGGAUCGGCCCGCGUCUGAUUAGCUAGUUGGUGAGGUUAUGGCUCACCAAGGCGACGAUCAGUAGCUGGUCUGAGAGGAUGAUCAGCCACACUGGGACUGAGACACGGCCCAGACUCCUACGGGAGGCAGCAGUGGGGAAUAUUGGACAAUGGGGGCAACCCUGAUCCAGCCAUGCCGCGUGAGUGAUGACGGCCUUAGGGUUGUAAAGCUCUUUUCUCCGGGACGAUAAUGACGGUACCGGAGGAAUAAGCCCCGGCUAACUUCGUGCCAGCAGCCGCGGUAAUACGAAGGGGGCUAGCGUUGCUCGGAAUCACUGGGCGUAAAGGGCGCGUAGGCGGCUGAUUUAGUCGAGGGUGAAAGCCCGUGGCUCAACCACGGAAUGGCCUUCGAUACUGAUUGGCUUGAGACCGGAAGAGGACAGCGGAACUGCGAGUGUAGAGGUGAAAUUCGUAGAUAUUCGCAAGAACACCAGUGGCGAAGGCGGCUGUCUGG